AUUUGAUGUCCCUGAUCUUGGUCCAGUGAGUACCUGAACCAAGCCCAGUAAUCGGUAAGGUAACAGAGGUAUUUUUGACGAUUGAAGAACAUUUAGAAAGAGGAAAAAGUUCAAGUGAAUUAUAAUAAAAAGCCCCUUCUUGUGAAUCUGCCCGGGAACCCCUUUUUAAGCGUUAUUAGCAGACAGGCCUGUGUCCUUUCCUUUGAUGACGGUAACAAGUUCUAUGACAUUGCCACUUUGAGUUCUUGCUUCAUUAGAUUGGGUGACUGUUUAUUUGAAAUUGUAAUGAAAUAUUUACUUUAUAGAGCUAUAAGGAUUAGCAGCGAUAAUUGAGUGAGGCUGAUCCGGAGCUUUCAGUGUAAUAGGGCCCCCUUGUUUGAAUACAGAGCGCGGGGAGAAUGGAGGGGCGAGGGGAGCGCGUUUCUGCCUGUCACUUUCCCUCUACAUGUUGCUUUUUCUCCCGGAGAUAAGUGGGCCUAAUGCUGAACAAAUACGGGAAAUCGGGAGCCACUGAGAAUCAUUCGCCUCUCGCUUUCCCAUGGCAGCGUGAUAGACGCCCGCUCAAAAGAGCCCCCCUCCUCCGGGCCGGCGACGAGGCUGUCACCGCCAGCAAAUCCAACGGCGGGGCGGCCGGGCCGGCGGGCCCGGGGCGAGGCGGAGGGCGCGGGCGGAGGCGGGAGCCGGGCCGGGCCUGCCGGGGGGGCGGCGGGCACCUGGAGCCGGGAUAGGCCGCGCCGUGCCGCCGCAUUGUGCCCGGGAGACGCGCCGCCAUUUGCAGAGAUAAUGGGAGAAAUUAAUGCAAAUGAGUGAAUGGAACGAAGCGCAUUUUCAUGCAGAUCGGAGGGGCUCGCGCGGGCUGCUUGAUAACAAGUCGCGGGGAGAAAAGGCCGACAUUCCCCACCAUCUUUCCCCUCUGUGACAGGAAAUUUGCUGUCUGAGCAGCACCCAGGAUCUGGGCAAGGCUGUACUGCAAAACAGAAGGAGCAAGUGUAUAAUGAGGGCUUCAGUCCCGUUAAUGGUGUCACUGCCUUGAAAUAUGUGUACAUUUUCUGUUGCGAAUUAGGAAGAUAAAAUUUUUAGUAGCCUGGUAAAUGGACUUGAAGUGAGAUAUUGAUCUGGUAAAAUGGUACCAUAUUGGAGCUGUCUGUUGUGGUAUUCAUCAUGCUGUCACAUCCCUAGUGCCUUGGAGUUAUUGAAAAGCGGAAUUGAGGGAGUUCUGUCACUGUGUGUUGCAAUCCAUUCAUAAGAAAGUUCACUAAAACAUCUGAAGUACUGUUCUUGCUUAUUUUUUUAUUUACCUCUAGUAUGAACCAUUUCACUUCUUUGAGGUACAGAACCCUCCUAUUUCAGGCCCAGGGACAUUGACAUGCUUGGUUACCUCUCCUCGGAUGCCUUUCUCUUGUACAACAUUUGAUCUUCAGUCAAAGCUCACACCUGCUGCCUUUACGGAUGCUUAUGCAUUUGGGUUCUGUCCUGUGGGAGUAAUAGAUCUAAAAGCUGUGGCUUCAUUGUCCUUAUACUUUUAUCUGAUAGCUGUGAGAAGGUAAACGAUGAAGUUUUAUAUGUAGAAAGCUUUUAGUUUCUUCCCACACUAAAGUAUCAGCUAAUGUUAAAAGAGCUUUCAAAAAUAUAUAAAGAUACUGUCAAUCUGCACCAAGUAGAUUAAACAGUUUGAAUGAAUUAUUUUUGUUUUGGAGUCUGCCUGGCAACCUGAUGAUGAAUUUAGAAGGAUGUCAUGUUUUCUGUAAGGCCAUGAUGAAAAGGGGGUUUAUUUACACAUAUAAGAAACAAUUUAACUGUUUAAUCCAGCCAAACUAAGGGUCUGCUCUGCAGCUGCAACUGCCUGUAGUUGAUACGCACAAGUAAUCACACCCAAUUUAAAUUUAGUAUAUAAGAGUUUAGCAGAAGAGCAAU